AUUGAACGCUGGCGGCAUGCUUUACACAUGCAAGUCGAACGGCAGCGGGGAGGAGCUUGCUUCUCUGCCGGCGAGUGGCGAACGGGUGAGUAAUACAUCGGAACGUGUCGAGAAGAGGGGGAUAACCACCCGAAAGGGUGGCUAAUACCGCAUAAAUUCUGAGGAAGAAAGCUGGGGACCUAGGAAUAGGCCUAGCGCUUUUUGAGCGGCCGAUGUCGGAUUAGCUAGUUGGUGAGGUAAAGGCUCACCAAGGCGAAGAUCUGUAGCGGGUCUGAGAGGAUGAUCCGCCACACUGGGACUGAGACACGGCCCAGGCUCCUACGGGAGGCAGCAGUGGGGAAUUUUGGACAAUGGGGGCAACCCUGAUCCAGCCAUGCCGCGUGUAUGAAGAAGGCCUUAGGGUUGUAAAGUACUUUUGUUAGGGAAGAAAAGUCAGCUGUGAAUAAUGGCUGAUACUGACGGUACCUAAAGAAUAAGCACCGGCUAACUACGUG
rnacentral:rRNA from 1 species